GCUCCCAGUCGCUGAUUCUCGCUUCCGUGAGCUGUGUGUUCCGCGCGGAGAGACCGCACGAUGCGGGAAUCUACGGCAGAGCAGGGUGACUGCGAUGACAUUACCCAGGUUGUCACUAGCCUGCGGGACAAAUCGGAUCACGAUAGAGACUCUAGGCGGGACGCGCUCGACCGGUCGCGUCCGGCGGUUUGUCGUGACCUAUUUGGUCGGCGCGGUGAGGUCGACAACCGACCCGACUGGUGCGAGACCGAGCUGGCAAAGCUCUCGCGCGAUUUUGCGGCGCGUUGGGACCUCGAACUGGAACCUGAAUCGAACGACAUCAUCAUUACGGAUGCGUGGGAAGUCUGCCAUGACGUGCCUGAGGUUUACCUGCGGAUGUUGGAACACCCAAAGACAGACUGUGUGAGGACACCGAACCACAGGACUGCCUUUACGCAGCGCAGAAUCUCAGACUACAUGCGGAAGAUCAAGUCGGACGUGCCGAGGCAGCCACGGCCCCUCCCAUACAAGCGCACGCUGGUGUCUCGAUCUACCCAGACCGACUGAACAAGAGUGCAAAGGUUUUGCCUGGCGGCUUCUGCAACCAGGAGACCGUCUAGUCGUUUUUGUCGGCGCCAGGAUCCAGAGCGAGUUCCCGACGCAAGACGGCGCUGUGACCUCGUGCAUUCCCGAACUGCCGAAGCUAUAUAUGUGGUCACCAACGAGCUGGAGGGCUCUAGAGCGAUAAACUGGCAGCUGAAAGUGACUCCAAUUGGCCGCCGCCAUGUUGCACUUUUUUUUGUACCGCUAGACACGUGACCUUAUAAUUUUACGUCUAGAUUUUAAUGAAGUACCGCGCACAAAUAAUUGCUUAUUGAUCUUUAAUAAAAGUACCGACGAGAUAAGUUAUAUUUCUUUUUUUGUUUUAAGUCCAGAAUGUGCUUUCACGGCGAAAACUCGGGCAGCUUCGCAAUGCCUCCGUUAUAGAUGCCGUGAACCGCAGUGUUGUAUUUUGGGUUUUUAUCGGAGCUAGACACUGAUCUCUGUGGCUAACAGUAUUGAAAACAAUUGUUUAUCGUGUUUUCUUUUUUACAGCGAUCGCAAUACAAAUCUCGGCUCACUUUUGCGUCAAAGCCUCAGGAUAUGGUACGGUCACGUGUCUACUGGUCAAAAUUGUACAACAUGGCGGCGCCCAAGUGGGGGUCACUUCUGCCUGCAGAAUGGGAUACCAGUUUAUCGUUCUAGGCCACUCUACCCCGUUAAUGGUCCCUGACAACUGAAGAAAAAACAGCGCGUCUACCUGACUAAAUUCACGCAUGUUUUUUUUUUUUUUUUUUAUGGAUUCGUUUUUUGGAGCUCUUAUCGGAUAACGUCGCCAUCUCAUUGGCUGCCAAGCGUUAAUGAGAUGCGCGCAACUCGCCCCACCCUUCGUUUCUCAAAUUGUCGGUGACGAUAGGUGAAAAGGCAGCAAGGGUGUCAAAGAUUGUUCGAAGCCGACAUGGCCGCGAAGGAGCGAAUAAGCGCUCACGGUGGCCCUAAUAUAUUGAAUCUGUAGACGCCAUUUUAUUCAUUUACUAUUUAUUGGCCCAUAGGGUAUCUUCGUUUUC